UUGGCAGUAGCUUAAUUAAAAGUUGGAGAUUCUUGAUCUUUAGAUGUCUGUAGUGACUUGUCGAA
rnacentral:tRNA from 1 species